CCUACGGGAGGCUGCAGUGGGGGAUAUUGCACAAUGGGGGAAACUCUGAUGCAGCGACGCCGCGUGUAGGAAGACGGUCCUCUGGAUUGUAAACUACUGUCCCCAGGGACGAAGAUGACGGUACCUGGGGAGGAAGCUCCGGCUAACUACGUGCCAGCAGCCGCGGUAAUACGUAGGGAGCGAGCGUUGUCCGGAAUUACUGGGUGUAAAGGGAGCGUAGGCGGGGAUGCAAGUUGGGUGUUAAAUCUACCGGCUCAACUGGUAGUCGCACUCAAAACUGCAGCUCUUGAGUGAAGUAGAGGCAGGCGGAAUGCCUAGUGUAGCGGUGAAAUGCGUAGAUAUUAGGAGGAACACCAGAGGCGAAGGCGGCCUGCUGGGCUUUUACUGACGCUGAGGCUCGAAAGUGUGGGGAGCAAACAGGAUUAGAUACCCCAGUAGUC
rnacentral:rRNA from 1 species